rnacentral:rRNA from 1 species
GUUGAACGCUGGCGGCAGGCCUAACACAUGCAAGUCGAGCGGAUGAGGGGAGCUUGCGCCUGGAUUCAGCGGCGGACGGGUGAGUAAUGCCUAUGAAUCUGCCUGGUAGGGGGGGAGAACGUCCUGAAACAGGCGCGAAUACUGCAGACGUCCUGAGGGAGAAGCUGGGGGAGCUUCGGACCGCACGCGAGCAGGUGAGCCUAGGUCGGGUUAGCUAGUUGGUGGGGUAAAGGCCUACCAAGGCGACGAUUCGUAACUGGUCUGAGAGGCUGAUAAGUCACCUUGGAGCUUAACCACGGACAUUACUACUAAGAGAGGCAGCAGUGUGGAAUGGUGGACAAUGGUCGAAAACAUGAUCCAGCCGUGCCGCGUGUGUGAAAACGGUCUUCCGAUUGUAAAGACCGUUAAGUUGGUGGAAAGCGCAGUAAGUUAAUACCUUGCUGUAUUGACGUUACCGAGAGAAUAAGCACCGGCUAACUACGUG